UAAACGAUGUCGAUUUGGGGGUUGAGCUUUAAGUUUGGCGCCCGUAGCUAACGUGAUAAAUCGACCGCCUGGGGAGUACGGCCGCAAGGUUAAAACUCAAAUGAAUUGACGGGGGCCCGCACAAGCGGUGGAGCAUGUGGUUUAAUUCGAUGCAACGCGAAGAACCUUACCUACUCUUGACAUCCAGAGAACUUUCCAGAGAUGGAUUGGUGCCUUCGGGAACUCUGAGACAGGUGCUGCAUGGCUGUCGUCAGCUCGUGUUGUGAAAUGUUGGGUUAAGUCCCGCAACGAGCGCAACCCUUAUCCUUUGUUGCCAGCGAUUUGGUCGGGAACUCAAAGGAGACUGCCGGUGAUAAACCGGAGGAAGGUGGGGAUGACGUCAAGUCAUCAUGGCCCUUACGAGUAGGGCUACACACGUGCUACAAUGGCGUAUACAGAGGGAAGCGAGAGUGCGAGCUGGAGCGAAUCUCACAAAGUACGUCUAAGUCCGGAUUGGAGUCUGCAACUCGACUGCAUGAAGUCGGAAUCGCUAGUAAUCGCAAAUCAGAAUGUUGCGGUGAAUACGUUCCCGGGCCUUGUACACACCGCCCGUCACACCAUGGGAGUGGGUUGCAAAAGAAGUAGGUAGCUUAACCUUCGGGAGGGCGCUUACCACUUUGUGAUUCAUGACUGGGGUGAAGUCGUAACAAGGUAACCGUAGGGGAACCUGCGGUUG
rnacentral:rRNA from 1 species